rnacentral:rRNA from 1 species
AUUGAACGCUGGCGGCAGGCCUAACACAUGCAAGUCGAACGGUAACAGGAAGCAGCUUGCUGUUUUGCUGACGAGUGGCGGACGGGUGAGUAAUGUCUGGGAAACUGCCUGAUGGAGGGGGAUAACUACUGGAAACGGUAGCUAAUACCGCAUAACGUCGCAAGACCAAAGAGGGGGACCUUAGGGCCUCUUGCCAUCGGAUGUGCCCAGAUGGGAUUAGCUAGUAGGUGGGGUAACGGCUCACCUAGGCGACGAUCCCUAGCUGGGUCUGAGAGGAUGACCAGCCACACUGGAACUGAGACACGGGUCCAGACUCCUACGGGAGGCAGCAGUGGGGAAUAUUGCACAAUGGGCGCAAGCCUGAUGCAGCCAUGCCGCGUGUAUGAAGAAGGCCUUCGGGUUGUAAAGUACUUUCAGCGGGGAGGAAGGGAGUAAAGUUAAUACCUUUGCUCAUUGACGUUACCCGCAGAAGAAGCACCGGCUAACUCCGUG